GUGUAGAUUUAGCUACACCCAUUUGAUGUGCUUCUUAGUCUCGUUUAACUUGCCGAUUCAUAUAUCCCUGUCUCAUUUGUUCUUAGAUUUGUCACGAAGCCUCUGGUUUUUGGCUUGUCCUGGUUUGAACUUGGUGUAUCUGGCUCUUGACUCAUUUUCUGACCUCAGACCAUCCUUAAAUCUGCUUUUCUACUUUGUACCAGGCUUUGGCGUCUCCAAGUACCUGACCUCAGCUCAACCUGUCUUGGGUUUUCUUCUCCUCCCUGACAUUGACAACCCAGCCCUCCUAGGCACAGAGAGAUGGAGCUGAGUGUGGUUUUCCUGAAAUAAAGCUUGCAUUAUGAGAGGGAAUAAACAGAAGAAAAAAAUAGGAAAUUGACCAUUGCUUCCAGACAUGUGUGGGAGUCCAGAACAUGCCACUCCAAAAGGAGGAUUGUCGAGCUGAAGACAAUUAAGAAGAAACAGAUGCAGGAAAGCUCUCUGCCCUCCAUUUGCUUAAAUGCAGGACAGAGAUUUACAAGAUAAAAGACAUCCUGCCCCUGUCUUUUACCAGGGAGAACAAAGGUUAACCACUGAAGACAGUUUUAGACCAUUAUCUGCCAGGAGUAGGAGCCAGAGGAAUCUACCUGAACAUGCUUUACCAACUCGCUUUUAUCUGCCGGUUACUUGCUUCCCCGCAGAGAAGUCCCCUCUAGAGACCCAAAGUCCUUUUCCUUUGUCCUGUCACUUCUCUAAAAAUCACUAUUCUUUGUUGAAGAUGCUAUACAAGCUGGAAUUCAAAGCUAUUUCUUUGAGAACUACUCCUUCCCUGGGUGUCUGCCAUGAGAACUACUCCUUUCCUGGGUGUCUGCCAUGUAGAUGUGAAAUAUACAUGUAAAUAAACUUGUUUUUCUCGUG
ensembl:lncRNA novel transcript, antisense to C7orf33 and CNTNAP2